rnacentral:rRNA from 1 species
CUAUGGAGGGGGAUACCCGGGAAAUGGGGAUAUACCCAUAGGCUAUGAAUGCUGGAAUGCUUUGCAGUUGAAAGGUCCGCCGCCAUAGGAUGGGUCUGCGGCCGAUUAGGUUGUUGUUGGGGUAACGGCCCAACAAGCCUGUAAUCGGUACGGGUUGUGGGAGCAAGAGCCCGGAGAUGGAUUCUGAGACACGAAUCCAGGCCCUACGGGGCGCAGCAGGCGCGAAACUUUACAAUGCGGGAAACCGUGAUAAGGGAACUCCGAGUGCCCGUAAAAUCGGGCUGUCCAUCUGUUUAAAUAACAGGUGAAGAAAGGGCCGGGCAAGACCGGUGCCAGCCGCCGCGGUAAUACCGGCGGCUCGAGUGGUGGCCACUAUUACUGGGCUUAAAGCGUUCGUAGCUGGUCUGUUAAGUCUCUGGGGAAAUCUACUGGCUUAACCAAUAGGCGUCUCAGGGAUACUGGCAGACUAGGGACCGGGAGAGGUGAGAGGUACUCCAGGGGCAGGAGUGAAAUCCUGUAAUCCUUGGGGGACCACCUGUGGCGAAGGCGUCUCACCAGAACGGCUCCGACAGUGAGGGACGAAAGCUGGGGGAGCAAACCGGAUUAGAUACCCGGGUAGUCCCAGCCGUAAACGAUGUGCGUUAGGUGUAUCGGUGACCACGAGUCACCGAGGUGCCGAAGAGAAAUCGUGAAACGUACCGCCUGGGAAGUACGGUCGCAAGGCUGAAACUUAAAGGAAUUGGCGGGGGAGCACCACAACAGGUGGAGCCUGCGGUUUAAUCGGACUCAACGCCGGGAAACUCACCAGAUAAGACAGCUGAAUGAUAGUCGGGCUGAAGACUCUACUUGACUAGCUGAGAGGAGGUGCAUGGCCGUCGUCAGUUCGUACUGUGAAGCAUCCUGUUAAGUCAGGCAACGAGCGAGACCCACGCCAACAGUUGCUAGCUCGUCCCCCGGGAUGGAGAGGACACUGUUGGGACCGCCUCUGCUAAAGAGGAGGAAGGAAUGGGCAACGGUAGGUCAGCAUGCCCCGAAUUAUCUGGGCUACACGCGGGCUACAAUGGGUGGGACAAUGGGUAUCGACACCGAAAGGUGAAGGUAAUCUCCUAAACCCAUCCUUAGUUCGGAUUGUGGGCUGCAACUCGCCCACAUGAAGGCUGGAAUUCUGUUA